rnacentral:hammerhead_ribozyme from 1 species
AUCCAACUGACGAGUCCCAAAUAAGACGAAACAUGUGUCCUAGAU